UGAAAUAAUCUGUUUGCCCUACGGCUAUGUUAUUUUUUUUAGAUUGAAUCUUAACAUAUUUCUUAAUAUGGAGUGCCACUUCACAUUCUUUGCAUCCAUAGAAUAUGGUUGAUUCCUCACAAUGAUCGCUUCGCACGAGUAGUCUCCAUUUGUGUCUUCUUCAUAUGUAAAGUUGAGUAAAAUGCUCAUCAUUCUUGUAUCUCACCUUAUAUGGAAAGACACAAGAAAAAUUCGCAUUCAUCACAUGUUAACGUUUCUUUUCCUGAUUCAUCACAAAUCGAACAUGUUUCUGCUGAAUUAGAGAAGAACAAGGGAUGCCUAUAAGAAUGAUGGUUCUCCCUGAGCUCCGAGGCGAUGAAGCUUUUUAAUCGAACAUGUUCCUUUUUACUGAGCUCUGAGCCAGGUCGCGAGGUCUUUUUUCCCUAGUUAGUUCUCGGGUCAACGGGCCAUGAAAUCCGACUGAUCUUGGGAUUAGUAUGAGCUAUGUGAAAAUUCCUGACACCCACACGUUUGUGGAGUAGUUUUUAGGGUGUAUCAAACCUUGGAUACCUUAUUACAACAUCUCUUAUCUGAUCACU